UUCUGUCUCCUAAGCACUUCCCCUAAUCUAACAUAACUAACCAUCCCCCCUUCCCCUUAAGCCCCCUUUAUGCCCUUUCCUGAUCUAACUGUCUUCAUCUGCUAAUGUCUUUUUCAACUGAUUUUGUUGUAAUGUCGUUGAAUUUCUGUGUUUUGUUUCAUUGUUUUGAAUUUUGACUAAUCUCUUCUCAGUUGUAUAUUUCCAGGGACUCGGACAAGGGACGACGCGAAAGGACCCAGCCGCCCAGCCAACAGAUGAAGAGGACCCAUUGCCCAGCUAUGUCUAGCGGCCAACAUUGGCCAAAGCGGAGCGUCGAUCCCACUGAGACGUACAGCAGCAUUCUGGGGAGCAGGGAUCGACUGCGACCGCACAUCUAAGAGAGGAGAUGCCGUGUGAUGCAGCCCUCUAUCCCAAGCGC